CAAGGAACAGGGAGGGCGAUCAGUGGGUGCAGCUGCGAAGCAAGCACCAUCCGAGGCCUUGGAAGGAAGACGCGCUCUGAGGGACAGGGCAGCUUGGACCGUCCUGAGAAAGGAACGCUCACAUCUCUGGGUGUUCACGGAAAGAAAGCACAGAGGCCAACCCCCAGGUUUCGUCUUGGGGCUGUGCUUAGAGGAGUGCACUGAGGAGGCUAUGACCAGCGACGGGGAACCCUCUUCAGAGUCGUUCAGGGCAGUGUUCACGACUCGCGAGAAUGAAAAGCUUCCCCAGCGUUAGGACUCCUGCACAGCGACCCACGGCUGUGGAUAAAGAGGUACAGACUCCACCAACGUUCAUUAAACCCCCCCACCCCCGCUGGCGAAAAGCACAGAAGACAUGCCAUUUUCUGUACGAGGCAUAUUGAGAAUCAAAUACUAAAAAGCUUAAAACCUCA